GCCUGGGUGGUUCAGUGGUUGAGCAUCUGCCUUUGACCCAGGUCAUGAUCCCAGGGGCCUGGGAUCGAGUCCCAUAUCAGGCU
rfam:Canis lupus familiaris chromosome 1, whole genome shotgun sequence.